CUGAAAGCAGCGGUUCUUCUAGCUAGAAAUAAUGGUUUUUACCAUAAAACACUUUUGUGUUGUCAGAAAAUUGGGACAAACAGGUGCCCUUACGAUACAGGUAGUGGAAUUUCGCCAAACCAAUAUAUAAACUUGGUGGAAUCUGUUUCUACUCAAGAUGUGAAUAACGUACUGCAAAAACUUGGAAGGAAUCAUCAUUUGGUAACCUAACUUGGGUACCAUACUUAGCUGACCUUAAGUAAAAGUUUCAAUGAACAUUACUAUUUAUUAUUCAAAUUAUGUCUGUUCAAGAUUUAGUUAUAUCAAACUCAUAUUUUAUUUACACCAUCCCUAAUAGCAUCAGAACAUGUAUAACAGACCAAAUAAAAUUGUAAAUAAUUGUUA